rnacentral:rRNA from 1 species
CCCUUAGAUGUCCGGGGCCGCACGCGCGCUACACUGAAGGAAUCAGCGUGGCUUUCUCCCUGACCCGAAAGGGUUGGGAAACCCGUUGAAUCUCCUUCGUGAUAGGGAUUGGGGCUUGAAAUUGUUCCCCAUGAACGAGGAAUUCCCAGUAAGCGCGAGUCAUAAGCUCGCGUUGAUUACGUCCCUGCCCUUUGUACACACCGCCCGUCGCUACUACCGAUUGAACGGUUUAGUGAGGGCCUCGGAUUGGUCCCGGCCCGCUCUUUACCGGGCGGCGCCGUUGGUCGAGAAGACGCUCGAACUUGAUCGUUUAGAGGAAGUAAAAGUCGUAACA